UACGGGGGGGGCAAGCGUUGUUCGGAAUUACUGGGCGUAAAGGGUUUGUAGGUGGCCCGCUAAGUCACACGUGAAAUCCCUCAGCUUAACUGGGGAACUGCGUGUGAGACUGGCAGGCUCGAGGGCAGGAGAGGAACGCGGAAUUCCAGGUGCAGCGGUGAAAUGCGUAGAUAUCUGGAGGAACACCGGUGGCGAAGGCGGCGUUCUGGACUGUCUCUGACACUGAAGAACGAAAGCCAGGGGAGCAAACGGG
rnacentral:rRNA from 1 species